AUUGAACGCUGGCGGCAGGCUUAACACAUGCAAGUCGAGCGGAGCGGCGGACGGGUGAGUAAGGUAAAGCUAAUCUGCCCUACACUAGAGGACAACAGUUGGUAACGACUGCUAAUACUCUAAAGUGUAGGAGGAGGCGAUAUUGUAUCAGCUAGUUGGUGAGGUAAUGGCUCACCAAGGGUAUGACGCAUAACUGGUCUGAGAGGAUGAUCAGUGACUCCUGAACUGAGACGCGGUCCAGACUCUUACGGAAGGCAGCAGUAGGGAAUAAUGCUACACGGGGGAAACCCUGAAGCAGCACCGCUCCGUGGGGUAUGACACUUGUCAGAGCGUAAAGUCCGUUUGUAAGGGAAGCGGUACCUAACCAAUAAGCACCGGCUAACUCCGUGCCAGCAGCCGCGGUAAUAC
rnacentral:rRNA from 1 species